rnacentral:rRNA from 1 species
GAUGAACGCUGGCGGCGUGCUUAACACAUGCAAGUCGAACGGAAAGGCCCAAGCUUGCUUGGGUACUCGAGUGGCGAACGGGUGAGUAACACGUGGGUGAUCUGCCCUGCACUUCGGGAUAAGCCUGGGAAACUGGGUCUAAUACCGGAUAGGACCACAUUUUGGAUGGUGUGGUGGAAAGUUUUUCGGUGUGGGAUGAGCUCGCGGCCUAUCAGCUUGUUGGUGGGGUAAUGGCCUACCAAGGCGUCGACGGGUAGCCGGCCUGAGAGGGUGUACGGCCACAUUGGGACUGAGAUACGGCCCAGACUCCUACGGGAGGCAGCAAUGAGGAAUAUUGCACAAUGGGCGCAAGCCUGAUGCAGCGACGCCGCGUGGGGGAUGACGGCCUUCGGGUUGUAAACUCCUUUCGCUAGGGACGAAGCGUUUUUGUGACGGUACCUGGAGAAGAAGCACCGGCUAACUACGUG